AUAUUUUGUUGGAUAUAUAUGAGAAGAUGAAAGCGACAUCUACUCGUUAAUAUGAACAAGUAAAAACGUAAGAAGUCACAGAUGGCUGUCUCAAAUCAACAACCGGUGCAGUGAACGAGCGAAGUGACGCGGUUAUGUACGCAAAACAAUCGCGUCAGACGCGUAAAACAUCGUGAAACAUGUAAGGAGUUGUUAUCAUAAGUGCCAUCGUGUUGAAUUUUACGUUUCUUUUUGUUUUACAAUACGGCCGAUUACUAGUGAAAGCAAAAUUUGGCUCGAUCCGCCGUUGUCUUUACGAAUUGGUUUUAUCAUCGGUGACGUACGGUUUUGGGGCACCGAGGCCAAACACGAAUCGCUGUUCAAGGAUGAGCGCGAACAAUGUGCAAGCACUUUUCGCAUGUUCAAGAUGCUUUUCAAGGCAUCCUUUUGAAGAACUUUCUCCAGGGCAACAAUUGUGUAAGGAAUGCAGAGGUGCAUUUCCUGUGGUGAAAUGUACAUAUUGUAGAUCGGAAUUCCAACAAACGAUAAAGGGCAAUACAAGCACUAUUUGUAAGAAAUGUGAACAAAAUGUGAAAUCUUAUGGUAAACCAUCGGCCUGUGAAUAUUGCAAUACCAUAGCUGCAUUUAUUGGUAGUAAAUGUCAAAGAUGUACAAAUUCUGAGAAGCGUUAUGGGCCACCAGUUACUUGCGAACAAUGCAAACAAAAGUGUGCCUUUGACAGACAAGAUGAAGAUAAGAAGGUUGAUGGAAAAUUAUUAUGUUGGCUGUGCACAUUGUCAUACAAACGAGCAUUGGCAAAAACAAAACAAUCCGAUGCUGAAAGGAGGGCACAUUUGAAAUUAGCACAACAACGAGCAGCAAAGCACAAAGAACAAAAAUUAAAAAGUCACAAUAAGAGACCACACAGAAUAGAUGUAACGAAGCUACCGCCUCAAUCUGAAGGUGCGGACACAAAUGGUCCAACACCGGUGAAAGCAGCGCGAAUGGUUGGUGUCCAUGAUCCACAUGAUCCCAAUAGUUCGGAUCAUGUAGUCGCCGUUACACAACUUAAGGAAAAGAUAGCUCAUCUUCAAAAACAAAUAUCUAUUAAAGAUGGGCAAUUACUUGCUAAAGAUAGACAAAUUACAGAAUUGAAAGCAAAAAAUUUUACAUCAGAAACAGAGCUGCGUAAUAAAAUGAAGGCGACAGAAAAAGAGUACGAAGCCAAAAUAUCAACGAUGCAACACAAGAUUUCCAGUUUGCUGAAAGAAGUUGCUUCCUUAUCAAAGAGUUCUAAGCGAGGUGAUAGAGUAGCUGCCACAAAAACAGAAGCUGGGACCAACAGUGGAAGCGGAACAGACAGUCCUGUACCUUGAUAAGAUGGCGGGCACACGCGAGCGGAUCCGAGCGGAGCGCGAUUAAAAGUGAAGGCUGUUGACCACGUGGCCGGAGGUCAUAGCGGCGUAGGCAGACGUUACUCUCUUCUCGUCUGGUGGAAGCGAGCCGCGAGGCUGGUGUGGUGGCGAGGCCUGGGCUGCGCCUCGCCGAGCGGUAUGAAAGGAGAAGAAGAAGAAGAAGAACACUGCGCGGAAAUGAAUCCUCCUGUGACGAUGAUGAAUCCCCCGGACCCGUGGAGUGGCGAGAGGUGUGCGGGGUGUGCGGAGAGGUGAAUGGAGGGCUCGGAUAAAGAAAGUUACGUCACUGUUGGCGCGUUGCUGGCGACUCCCGGCUCCCCGUCGCAGGAGCGGCACACGCAUCGCGGAAAGUCGACGGACAAGGAAGGAAGUUCACAGCGGAUAGGAGGAACGUUAGGAUUCGAAGGAGAAAGGGGUGACGAUUGGCGACCUAAUAAGACCGAGGGGGAUAUUCAGGGACACUGGUACGGAGAGCAGAGAGAAAGAGAGAGGAUGGACGUCACAGGAGGAAACGAGAACUACCGUGUUGAGGGGGGUAGGGAUGAAGAAGAGAAAGAGAGAGAGAGAGAGAGAGGAGGGUCGCUGUGUGCUCGGUCGAAGACACGAGACACACGGCGACCGCUCGUUACAUAAGUAAGGUAAAGGAUCUCCUCUUCUGCUCUCCUUGAGUCGAUCCACAUCCGCGAUUAUGCCACUUUCCAUCGACCUCGCUUCACCUCGGCUCGCCGUGCAUCGACACCACGUGUGUGCGUGUGUGUACGUGCAACGGAAGCUCGUGAUUUCCUUUAUGGAUCGAAAUCCGGAGCUUCCUUGAAAAAAAAAAGGUCGAAUUAGGAUUCCAGCUAUCGAGAGAGAAAAGAACCAUUUUUCUCCUUCUCUCUAUAAAGAUCGAAAAUGGAAUGGAAUUUUUUUUUUUUUUAAUAAAAAAUUGAUAAAAAUCAUCGAGACACGGUUGAAAAUUAAUCACUCGGAUCCUUGGAGAAGGAAAUUAAUCAUUGUUCCCUUUGAACUGGAAAAUUUGAAAAUGAAAAGAUUAGAUAUAGUCCGAGGCGACUGUCACCGGGAGACAAAAGGAAUUGUGUCAGUUUUUUUCCUCCGGAACACCUGGAGAAGAGGAGGCAGAGAAUUAUGCCAGCCCGUUCUUCAGCCCCCGCAGCAUAUUGUCCGGGAAGCUUGCCGCGGGGAAAAAAAAGGUUUAUUAAAUUUUUCAUUUUCCUAGAAUCAAAUGAUUUUAAUUAAGUCUUAAAGUCUUAUCUAUAAUUGGUUUCUAUAAUUUCGUUAAUUAUCAAAUAUUUCGAUAUAAUAUAUUUCCAUUUCUUUUUUUUUCUUUUUUCAAAGAAUCUUCUGUACGAACAAGAACAAGACGAAAUCGCGAUGAUCCUGAUUCAAAAUUAAAUCUUUCUGGCCGUAUAGUUGUAAACAGGAAACGGGGUAAUGGAUUACGUCAAUAAAAAAAAUGUAUCGAACGGAUCGAACAAAACGUAUCAUUCUAUCGUUGUAUUAUGUAAAAAAGCGUCUUGCUUGGUUCGAUCAAUUUGUUACGUCCGCAGUUUUUACGAAACAUUCGUUCUCCGAUCUUUCUUUUAUUCCUCCUCCUUCCUUCCUCUUCGCUCGCGAUGUAAAGUUAAUUGGCGUAGCGCGGUUACUCGAUUUACAUGAGUCUUAAUUAAGCGACUACUCUUGCUCGUCUCAACGCGUACGAAAUUACCGGCCUGUAUGGAAUUUUCGAAGUAAUUGUUACGUGUUUUAUGCUCGGACGAGGGAAGAGGUUGGACGGAUACAAAUCCUCAAGAUCGUAAAUUCGCCUUUUUUAAUAUCACACCGGGUUAGGGCGAUCGUUCCCGUAAUGGCUCACGUUCGUCCAUUCGAUAUAUUUUCGACGAAUAUUACGCCCUCUCGAUUAGUACGCCUCCUCUGCCCAAUGGAAAAAUCGUUUCCCGUGACCGUUAACGUCCCCUUGGAUGGAUGGGACGCUUUAGAAGUUUAUAGUCCGGGUUAUGGUUUCUCGUGAGAUCGGUGAUAUUGACGAGUCGUUGAACUUUACAAUAUAACUUCGACGAUAACGCGACCUUGCCUUUGAACGGCGGAAGAACACUCGAGCGAAAAAAGAUCUCCACAAGGAAGCUGCGCUUUCUCUUGUGGAAAAUCCUCGAUCGGAUAGAGAGAAAAGGAAAAUGCGAUAUUCGUAUUUAAUCGAAUAGAAAUUAUAAGAAGUUUUAAAAAAAUUUUAACGGGUAAGUUCGAUUUAUUUUUCUUCAAUUUUUCUUCAAUUUGUUGCAUUCGAUAGAAUUUUUCGCGGACAGGAAACGCUAUAACCAUCUAGCGGUCGAAUGGUACAAUCAAAAUGCUCCUGGUAACGUGCAACACGAUGAGCUAUCGUGCGUGCAUUUUGCCAGCUGAUGUUGAAUGUAGACACCUUCUUUACCAUCUUCUGUAAAUCUUUAUCCAGAUUCUUAAUUUUUCUUAGCACUUAAUGUACAGUUACAUUUUUUUUAUUUCUCACUUUUGAAUUUCUCAGUUAUUAAAUGGAUAAAAAAAUCAUAAAUCUUUGUAAAUAAUUACAUUUAUUUAUUUAUCAAUUUCACAGUAUAACAGUGUAUACGAUACGCUGAAUAUAGAAUAAUCUCUGCUCUUUAUCGUUUACUAAUUAAGGCGAUUAGUAUGUGAGUGUGAUCGGUAAGAACAUAUAUUAUAUAGCACGUGUACUUUUUUAUUGGUCGUCAUAAUAUCCUUUUGUCGCUCUUUCUUCUUAUUCUUCUUAUAAUUUUUUUUUAUUUUUUAUAUAUAUAUAUAGAGGUACGCUACCGUUUAUCUGCCCAUUCAUUUCAAUAUUUAUUUUAUCUCUUCUCGACGGUAACACAUCUCUACCGUAUAGUACCGUAAAUAUAUAUAUAUAUAUAUAUAUAUUAUAUAUGUAUAU